AAUCUAAGUAGGAAUGAAUUAAAGAUAAUUAAUCUAAAUAGAAUAAGAUAACAUAAAUAUAAUAGAAAAUUUAGAUAGAAUAGAAAAAUAACUAAUUCUAAUUGAAAUUGGAUAACUAAUAAAUAUAUCUAUUUAAAUAAAAUAAAAUAAAUGUUCCGCAUCAUAGCUACCUUGUAAACGAUUGAAGAAUCCAAUAUUUUCAUGUUCUAUUUUUCCAAAGGUUAUGCAAGUUCGCCAUGGUGCUUGGAUGACCUAGAGAAGAAACAGGUGGUUUGACUGAUUUUCUACCAAGUAGAUCCAUCUGACCUACAUUAAAGAGCUUGGAAAAUUUUUAGAUGAACGUGGAGAAGGUGCAAAGUUUAAUAUCUGUCUUGUCAGAAGCUGCCAGUCUAUCUAGAUGCAUCAUUGGCCUUCUAACUCACAGGAAAUUGCUGGAGAUAUUUGGAAGACAUUGAAUAAGAGAUGUCCUCUACUUCCCCUAUAGAUUUUGUUGGAAUUGAUUCGCGCAUUGAGAGAGUUGAAUCCUUGCUAUGCAUUGGAUCAUUGGAUGUUCGCAUUGUUGGAAUAUGGGGAAUGGGUGGUAUAGGAAAGACGACUAUUGCUGAAGCUGUGUUCAAGCGUAAUCUUGCUCAAUUUGAAAGCUACCACUUCUUUGCAAAUGUGAGGGAAGAGUCAGAAAAACAUGGGUUUUUACAUUUACGAAGUGAGCUUCUUUCUAAAAUAUGUGGGAAAGGAAAUUUUAAUAGAAGAACUCCCAAUUUCGGGUUCUCUUUCGGCAAGAAUAGGCUUUGUCGAAAAAAGGCCCUUAUUGUUCUUGAUGAUGUGAAUAGCUCAAUGCAAUUGCAAGAACUGUUAGUUGAUUCACGUCAUUUGUUUGGCCAAGGAAGCAAAAUCAUUGUAACAAGUAGGGAUAGGCAAGUGCUCAAAAGUGGAGUUGAUGAAAUAUAUGAGGUUGAGAGCUUAAAUCGUGAUGAAUCUCUUCUACUCCUUAGCGUGCAUGCUUUUAACCAAAAUCACCCCUUCCAAGAGUUUAUGCAGUUAUCAAAGAGUGCAAUCUAUUAUGCAAAAGGCAAUCCACUAGCCCUUAUAGUUUUGGGUUGCUUUUUGUUUGAAAAAAGGAAACAGGAUUGGGAAAUUGCAUUGAAUAAACUGAGAAGAACAUCAAAUGUGGGAAUAAAGAAUGUCUUAAGAUUAAGUUAUGAUGGAUUAGAAACCGAAGACAAGGAAAUAUUUCUUGAUAUUGCA
rnacentral:misc_RNA from 1 species